rnacentral:rRNA from 1 species
UAUAUCGGAACGUGCCUUGUAGUGGGGGAUAACGCCCCGAAAGUUGCGAUAAUACCGCAUACGCCCUGAGGGGGAAAGUGGGGGACCGAAAGGCCUCACGCUAUUAGAGCGGCCGAUAUCUGAUUAGCUAGUUGGUGAGGUAAAGGCUCACCAAGGCAACGAUCAGUAGCUGGUCUGAGAGGACGAUCAGCCACACUGGGACUGAGACACGGCCCAGACUCCUACGGGAGGCAGCAGUGGGGAAUUUUGGACAAUGGGGGCAACCCUGAUCCAGCAAUGCCGCGUGAGUGAAGAAGGCCUUCGGGUUGUAAAGCUCUUUUGUCAGGGAAGAAACAGCAGCUCUAACACAGUUGUGAAUGACGGUACCUGAAGAAUAAGCACCGGCUAACUACGUGCCAGCAGCCGCGGUAAUACGUAGGGUGCAAGCGUUAAUCGGAAUUACUGGGCGUAAAGCGUGCGCAGGCGGUUAUACAAGACAGGCGUGAAAUCCCCGGGCUUAACCUGGGAAUUGCGUCUGUGACUGUAUAGCUAGA